UCCCUGAAGGACUAGUGGUUAGGCUUCGGCACUAUCACCGCUGCAGCCCAGGUUCGAUUCCUGGUCAGGGAA